UUGCUGCAUGUUUAAGCUAAAAUAAACAAACACUCAUAAACAUAAUAUUAAUUUGAGAUCAGAAACUCAUAGAAAUAUUCUAUCAAAAAAUAUUAAUUUUAACUUUAUGCACUGCGUCCUCGCUUUCUAAAGCGAGUAUAACAAAGUAAUUUAAUCUGUUGGUUUUAUGAUGUGAAACAAGUAAGUAUAAUUUAAUCGAGGAAGUUUAUGUAUUAAUGUGCAUGUAGUCGUUUUCGGUGUAUAAUAAACCCCUGAUAUGUGACGUCAUAAUUGGUUCUGGAUUAUAGCUUUCAGUAAAAGAAUUUAAUAUUACACAACUGAAAUUGUAAAUUAGCGUUUUGCACCAUCAGUGACUUUUUACAUAAAGACUUUUAGCUUAAUUUGUUCUAAGCCGUAAAAAAAUCAUUAUGGACGGGAUUCGGUGUAGCCAAAUCAACUUGGAUGACUUGUACGUGGAAACAGACGCACUGCAAGAUGAACUGUUGAAGAAUCAGGAAAAAUAUAUCGAGACGACCAUACGAGCGAAAACUGUACAGAUGGAGUUAACCUUGCAAGCCACGGAGUUGGAUAAGAAACUUAAUCUAAAAAAUGCUAAAGAAAUGUCAGUUGCCGCCGUUAAAAUGCAAAAGGAAUUUGAAGAGGAGACUGCCGAACUGGAGAAGUCAAUGGCCAAAGAUAAUGCUACAGAAUAAAUUAGAAAUAAGUCUGUUCUUUUUUAUUAACCGUGGACACAGAGAAGUUCAUUUUUGCGUGCCUUUAUUUUCAUAUGGUCGAUUCGUGACGAAACACAAGCAGAGACAUCGUAAACAUAAAAUCAAUUCCUGCAUUUCUCUGCGCGUUCGGUAGUACGCAGACUUUAAAUCGAUGCACGUUACAGGUCGAAAUCGCUGGCGAAAUAUGUACAACAAGGGUGAGUUAGAAACAAAUUCGCAUUCUGAAGUUUUUAAAUUAAACACAACUGAACUGAAACCUGUACAAAAGAGAAAAGCCUAAACCUAGAAGGUCGCAGCUGCAGUACACGUGACAAAAGGACGACUGUAAGAAACAGAAAAAUAAAUAAACACCACAAGUUCACCAAUUCCAACAUGCACACGUUUUCCAGCUUAUUUUUAACUCUUCGAAAGAAUAAGAACUUUCGAUCAGAAAUGUAGACGAGAUAGAAAGGGCAUCGUAUUCGUGGGCAUUGGGACGAAAAUACAACUCCCCACUAUGCCAUAACUUCGUAAACUGUUGCCUUUUUAUCACCAGAGCCGGUGACGAUAUAUCGAUCAUCAAGCGAAAUGUCACAGCUAAGGACAGACGAGGAUUCUUUGUGCUG